AUCGUUUCUCGGGUUUUUUGGUUAAGAGGAAGUGUGGUAUUUGUUUUUGUGAAUUUAGUAUCUGUACACGUUUUCUAUCCGAAGACAGUAUAUUAAAUGGAUUUUUGGAGGAGAGAGAUGGAAUAGGAGCUUUCUCUAUUUGCUACACGAAUCGACCUGGUAUUGCUAGUACUUCCAGAAACGGUGCACAUUUC
ensembl:snRNA U2 U2 spliceosomal RNA